rnacentral:rRNA from 1 species
UACAGAGGGGGCAAGCGUUGUUCGGAAUUACUGGGCGUAAAGGGCGCGUAGGUGGCCUUCUAAGUUGAACGUGAAAUCCCUGGGCUCAACCCGGGAACUGCGUCUGAUACUGAGUGGCUUGAGUGCAGGAGAGGAAUGCGGAAUUCCAGGUGUAGCGGUGAAAUGCGUAGAUAUCUGGAGGAACACCGGUGGCGAAGGCGGCAUUCUGGACUGUAACUGACACUGAGGAACGAAAGCCAGGGGAGCAAACGGG